AUCCUUUUGUAGUUCAUAAGUGUGAGAAUUGGGUGUUCACGUGCAUGUAUGCAAUGUGCCUCCCUCAAACCUUGUUAUGAUAUUGGCACAUUACUUGUCUGAUG
ensembl:snoRNA